rnacentral:lncRNA from 1 species
UCGAGAUUCAACAGGAGUUUUAGGAACAAAUUGCAUAUUUGGAAUCCUCUCAACGUAGGCUUCGAGAAACAUCCAAUAUUCGUAGUAAUCGAGGUACGUGGGGUUAUCCUAAAAUCUCAUGGGUAUAGUUUUUAUGAACAUGCAUGCUUUUAAAAUGGGGGUUUUCAAUCAAAUGCUAAUAACUUGCUUUCAAUAUGAUUUUUAAGUUAUUUUUCUUUAUGUCAGGGGAAUUGUUUGCCUAAAUACUUCAAUGGUUG